AUACGGAGGAUCCGAGCGUUAUCCGGAUUUAUUGGGUUUAAAGGGUGCGCAGGCGGCCAUUUAAGUCAGCGGUUAAAUCGUGGGGCUCAACCCCAUUCUGCCGUUGAUACUGGGUGGCUUGAUUGCGGUCGAGGUUGGCGGAAUUCGUUGUGUAGCGGUGAAAUGCAUAGAUAUGACGAAGAACACCGAUUGCGUAGGCAGCUGACCAGACCGGAAAUGACGCUCAUGCACGAAAGUGCGGGGAUCGAACAGGAUUAGAUACCCUGGUAGUCCGCACAGUAAACGAUGAAUACUCGCUGUUUGCGAUACACUGUAAGCGGCCAAGCGAAAGCGUUAAGUAUUCCACCUGGGGAGUACGCCGGCAACGGUGAAACUUAAAGGAAUUGACGGGG
rnacentral:rRNA from 1 species